rnacentral:tRNA from 1 species
AGGGAUAUAGCUCAGUUGGUAGAGUGCCUGCCUUGCAUGCAUAAGGCCCUGGGUUCAAUUCCCAGUGCCCUA